GGGCAGGUACCUAAGUGGCCAACAGGGGCAGACUGUAAAUCUGCUGGCUUUGCCUUCGGUGGUUCGAAUCCACCCCUGCCCACCA
rnacentral:tRNA from 1 species